UCGAAUCCGGUGGGCGGGGCCCCGGCCGGGUUGCAGCGACCAAUCAGGGCGCGGCCUUUGCCGCGGGAGAUCCGAAUUUCGCGGCACGUCGUUUGGCGCUUAAAAAAAAAAAAAAAAAAAAAAGAAAAGAAAAGAAAGAAACCAGCGAGCGGCGCCGAGAGCCGCGGGAGACGGGGCGAGAACCGGGGCCGCUCCGCAGCCAUCGCCCCCGCUGCAAUCCGGCCCCAUCCCGGCCCCGGCCCGCUGCAGCCCCGCCGGGAGGGAGCCGAGCCGCGGCCGCCAGCUUUGCAAGGGGGAGCCGCUCCAUGAGAGACAGUGGCGGGGCCUCGGCCGGAUCCAGGGCCCGGGCUGGGGGCGCAGCUCCCCCUGGCUUGAUGCUGCUCAGCCCCCCCGCGCUGGGGGCCUCGGGCGAAGGGGCCGCCAAAGCAGAGAUUUAGGGGGGUGAUUUUAUGAUUAUUAUUAUUAUUAUUAUUUUUAAAUGCAACACGCUCGGGUGGGGGUCGAUCCGCUCUCUGGGAGCGGAAAGUCACCAGCCCCUGCAAUAACCUGCACGUUACCCGGCUCCUGCAAGCUGAGGCUCGGGUCAGUGACCUGGCAUCUGAGCCCUGCAAAGCCCCGGUCCCCUUAGGACAGACAGUAACUUUUAAUUGUCUGUGUUUUUAUAAAACAGCCGGCUGCAAAUUCUGGCCGGCCGGGUAAAGGAUCUUCCACGAAGAAAGGAGGGGGUUCGAGCUUUCUGUCUGAAUGAGGAGAGAGAAAGGAAACAGUCAUUUUUAUUCUGGGGCUGGUUUAGUGAUUUUCCCCUCCCUUCCCCCCAAAUGCAUUUUAGCAAAAAUUCCAGCUUGAUUUUUUUUUUUUUUGAGACAGCCUCAGACUGGAAAGUGGGGGCCAUUCACUGAUCCUGCAUGCUAUGCCCUGUGUUAAAUGGCUGGGCAAUGCUAGGAUCAGCCUCCGACCCCUCCGUCUACCCUCCAUGUCUCAACUGCAGCUUGGUUUUUAAGCACCCCCCUUAAAGCUGUGCAAGUGCAACAUUUCUGCCCUCCCUUCCCUGCCAGCUGGGCUUCUCGGAAAGGACUUUGCAAUGCUGAGAGUCAAGGGAGUGUCUUCAGCCCCAGAAAGGGGGGGCUGUUCCCUUGCCUCUCUCCCCCAGCAGCAGCAGCAGCAAAAGAAAGUCAUGCCUGUGAUGAGCUCUGCAGACUUGGUGACUUCCAGCCUCAGCAGCCCUCAGAUGCACUCCAUCCCGGCCAGCUACUUCACGCAGCUGUACCCUCAGAGUGUGGCUACUGCCCCUGCACCCAGGGGCAGUUGUCUCUACGCUACCCCUCAUGGACCUGAAAUCAGAACCAUCCGAUCUGCCUCUGCAGGAAGGCUGCCGGCCAAAAGGAAGCUGGAUCUGGAAGGGACCGGCCAGCCGGGCAUCCCAGAAUUCCGGACGCCCAAGGGGAAGAGCAGGACAGUCGCUCGAAUCCCCAGCCCCAAGACCCCCAAGUCGCCUGGGGAGAAGACACGGUACGACACCUCCCUGGGGCUGCUGACCAAGAAGUUCAUCCACCUGCUGAGCGAGUCGGAGGAUGGGGUGCUGGACCUGAACCGGGCAGCCGAGGUGCUGGAGGUGCAGAAGCGCCGGAUCUACGACAUCACCAACGUGCUGGAAGGGAUUCAGCUCAUCCGGAAGAAAUCCAAGAACAACAUCCAGUGGAUGGGCACAGGAAUUUUCGAGGACACCUCUGUGACGGUGAAGCAUCAGUCCCUGUGCCAAGAGCUGGCGGAGCUGGCCAAGACCGAGAGAACUUUAGACGAGCGCAUCCAGGACUGCACCCUCCAGCUGAAGCACCUGACAGAGGACGAGACUAACCAGAGAUUAGCAUAUGUCACCUACCAGGACAUCCGCUCCAUCAGCAACUUCCAGGAGCAGACGGUGAUAGCGGUCAAGGCCCCCCCGGAAACCAAGCUGGAGGUGCCGGACUUCAAUGAGGAGAACGUGCAGCUCCACCUGAAGAGCACCAACGGCCCCAUCGAGGUGUACCUGUGCCCCGAGGAGAUCCUGGAGGACAGCCCUGCCAAGGAGAGCAGCUUCCCCACCCCCUCCCUUCAGGACAGCAGCGACGGCACCGACCCCUCCCCAGGGAAAGCUGAGCCCCUGAUGGAGGUGGAGGAUGGACUCCUGGACAUGCCCCAUCACCUGCUGCAGCAGACGGAGGACCAGCUGCCCUAUGGUGACCCCGCCCCCUUUGUCAGCUUCUCCCCACCCCUCGACCAGGACGACUACCUGUGGGGGCUGGAGGGGGGCGAGGGAGUGAGCGACCUCUUUGAGGCCUAUGACCUUGGUGACCUACUGAAGAACUGAGCCGGCAAGGGGGCCCCUCUCCCUCCUUGCUAUGGUGCUAACGGCCUUGCUGGAGUCCGGGGCUCUGACUUGAAGCGUGGACUCCGAGCCCCUGCCCUCCUGGCCACCAGAGCAGGGGCAUGGAGACCUCCUGUGGGGCAGGGCUUCCUCCCGCUCUUCCCUACCCAUGCGUGAUCUCCACAGCUCCUCCUCCACUCUUCCUUGCUGCUGGGGCCAGCACAGACUGGGCGUAGCAGUCAGUGCAAUGCAAGACCCUAGAGGGCAACCUGGGGAAGAGUCUCCCACCACGUGCCCUAAGAACCUACUGCAGGAAUGGAGCGCCUUUGCCCAUUUAUCUUUUUCCCUGCCCCACGCACACGCCGGUAACACGUUCCUGGCCUGUCCAGGAAUGCUGGGGCUGGGCAAGGAGCCCCUGGGAGACUGGGUCUCUGUCAUGGAGAGCGAAUCUUCUCAUCCUGCCCCCGAAGCGACCCAUCUGCAGAACACACAGGGCGGCUAUGUCUGGGGGGCGGAGGGGGAGUGGAAUGCUCUGUGGUCUGCCAGGGGAUUUGCGUGACGGGGCAAGAGAUCCCGUUCCCUGAAAUCUGGGCAGGGUGGGGGAUGCGUGCGCUUGUGUGAAUGAAGAAAUCCUUCAGCUCCUGCAGCUGCUUGGGGGCCCCGAAGGGAUCUGUGACGGCAGCGCAGCUGCGGGACACUUGUCUGUUUCGCUCUGCCAGGCCCGGGCAGCCCCUUUGGAUCUGACCCAGAUGGGUCUUGCUUCCCCCUCCCUGAAUGUUUUGCUUGGAGCGUACGGGGUCCGAGCCAACCCAGAAACCCCGAGUGAAACCUGGUUUGUAAUUGCAGCCAUCAGGUGGCUUUUGAUGUGAACAGUCAGCGGAGAAUGCCUCCUUAGGGCCAUGGCCUCUAGGGGGACUUACCAGGGACCUGCUCUGACAUCUUCUAAUGAAACUUGAAACAAAGCGAGUCCGGGGUGGAGGGCGUGGUGAGACAGGGACUCGCCUGCCCACUCACCUGUGAUGGGAGGGAUUCCAACUGCAUCUCCUCCUUCCCCUUCGACUGACCCUAGGCCCCACCCUCUCCCCUCCGUCCUCUCACUGAAAUGCCUGGCUGCCUUCGCUCUCCGUGGGUCACUUGGAUCUGCUCCAUCUAGACUGGUGCCAAGCGACCUGCUCCGUUGCAGGCUGCUGUGAGGGUCACAUGUAUCCAGUAAAUGGGCUGUUGUUCCCAUGUGAGCCCCUGAGUCCUUCCCGAUUGGAUCAGCCCUUCUCUAAAUUCUUUGUUGGCUUAGCGUGGGAUCCGUUUCAUAGAGUGGGAGGAACCCCAAGUGCCACAAGCUGGGCUGGGUCCCCUAGGAGACCAACUGCCCCGACCCCUUCUCCUUCCAUGGUAGAUUCUGGGAACAGGGUGGAUUAAAUUUGGGAUUGCCGGGGUAGCGUAAGAGAGGUCUGAAUGACCCGUGCACAUGCGCUGUGCCUUGUAAAAACCAGGCCGUUAACCUUCACUGUGCGUCCUGUGAGGCGGGACUAAUACCCACGUCCAUGUCGUGCUUUGGGAUCCUCAGGGACAGGGUCUCAGCGGCGAGAUCUGGACCAUUAUCCAAGCCCCCUGAAACAGAAUGGCGUUUGGCUUGCAGACCACUCUGGUUCACCAAGGUCCUGGUGCUGGUUGCUUAUUGACUUGCUGCUUUCUGAUUGGCUUGGUGCAUGUCAUGCUUCGGCCAAUCAGAGACCAAUCAUCUGCACACCAUGAAACGCACACCUGAUCAGCUGCAAUUUAAACUUAAAUCUGCUAGUGGGGCAUUUAGUGUGAAAAUGGUCAAAUAUGGGGGCCGAGCGCUAUGCGCCUACAUGAAUAUUUAUGCAGCUCAUUGUGGCUUGAUUUUUUUUAUUUGAGGUGCUGAGCGAGCACCGCUCCCUCUUUAAAAUCAAGCCACUCAGAGGUGCCUAACAAUGUGGAUUUGGGUGGCGAACCUGAGCUACCGGAGUUCAGAAAUUUUGAUCUAAUCUUACUUUAUUUUCACUCAUUGCCAGAUUUUGAGAAUCUCACUAGGUGCUUCUCUGCAUUUUUAGGGACCUAAAUUCCUCUGAAAAUUUGGCCUGUAAUGACGAGUGGCUCCACCAUGUCGCAACCUUGUUAGCCGCAGAUUCCAUUGUCAGUAGUUUUUUGCAAAAUUCCAGAGGGGAAGGGGAAGGUAGCUUUUUAUUUCACUCUGUCCAAAAUUCAUCCCUCCAGAAAGGCUGGUUUGGAUUUCCAGGUUUUCAAUAUUUGCACAAUAGCUAUUGGUUCACGGGUGGGGAAUUUUGUCAUGUGACAUCCCAUUAAAUUCUGUCUUAAAAAUGGAAACAAGCACAUUUUCUUAACCCCUUCUUGAAUGCAGCUUCUCCCUGCCUGGGGAGAAUGCCAGACAGAGCCUGCAAUGGAUGCUGGGUGGGUCGCAUCCCAUUCAUAUCUGCCCAGUGGCUCUCCCUGCAGGACUGGGGCCUGAGGUAUUGUAGCCAAAAUGUCCACUGAAGCUAACAUUAAACACUUGGUUGGCUUUUAAUCUAGCAAAGGGGUUUAAUGCUGCCCGGAUACUAUGGUGAUGGGUGGCACCUUCCACAUAAAAUCAAUAGCUAAGUCCUCAUGGAGUCUCUGACACGUCUCCCUGUUUGGGGGUGAAACCUCUGCUUGGGGGAAGGGUUUUGAUUUUGUUAAUUUGCCCCCCUUUGUGUGUGUGUUUGGGCAUUGGGAUGGAAGGGGGAUGUCAGUGCAGAGUCAUUCUCAUGGUCAGAUGCUGGAUUCAGCUGAUCUCUGUUCUUACCGACCCCGCCUUGGAGCUCCCCCAUCUAGUGUCCCCGUCUAGAGAAUGGGAACUCCCCAAAAUGGGGUGUGAAGAGCUGUGGGUGGCUGUGCUUGAGAUGGAGAAAGGGAGGGCUGGCUCAUUCAAGCCUCUUCUGGACAGGCAUCUGAUCGAACCAAAGGAUGUUUUCUGGCAUCUCAAGACACAACUGUCCCGGGGAGCUAGGUCUCCAUCUGGAGGUGGCUGUCGUGUACCUAAACGAAAGGCCACUGUUGCUCUGGCAGGGGCUCUGUAGCUCUUGGUUUUUCAGGGAGAAUCUGCAGAGACGAGACUCUGAGCAGCAUUAGUGUGUCCUCGAGAACUGGAGAUGGGGAAAACAGUUAGUUUUCCUAAUGCAACCAUGUGCUAUGGGGAUCUCUCCUCCCCCCCUCCCCCCCCCCCCGAAUAAUCACUGCUGUAAAAGUGACAGUCAAACCAGCACUGGAAGUGGCAUGGCUGUGUCUCGAAUGUGCUCCAUGGACGAGUAAAGAUAUGGCUCUUUGAACUGCAACUCCCCCUGGCAUUGGAGAGUCCAACUGGGUUCUCUCCUUGCACGUCCUCCCCAGUAAGAAAGGUUCUGCUGGCCAGGCAAGGGCCACACCACCCCGUUAUCCCGUGGGUUUGUACGGGUGUCACUGAAGGGCUGAGCUGCCUUGUUUGCAGUGGGGGGUUUGCCCCAAUUCCAGCCACCUGUGGCUACCAAUUGGUGUAGCAGCACCAGGCACUUGCCCUUGCUGGAGGCUGGGGUGGGGUGUACUAGUGCCAAUGGAAGCUGGUAGCAGUUGGCCUGUCUACAAGAGGAAUUUGCAGGCAGUGCAGAUGAACUGGGGGCAAAUCUAGUGUGCACAGGUCCUUCGUUAACUGCUCUGAUGCACAAGGGAGACUAGAAUCCAGCUUCCCCCCCCUCCCCCCCCCCCCCGGCAGCACUGGUGGUCAGAUCCAACCUGGGUCACAAGGUGUUGUGUGGGUUGAAUUGACAGAGGUGAGGUAAAUUGGAUCAAGCCAGCGACCAGCUGCCAAUACUCUAGACAAGGCCAGCUGUAUAUUAGUGUGUGCUAAGUGGGCAGAGUUAAGGGUAGAUUGAGCUAGUUAACACCAUCUAAAAACCAGAUUGCUAAAUCCUCAUCUAGACAAAGCCAAAAUGGAAGAAGCAAGACUCCGGUCAGGUCUAUGCUAAGUACUUCUGCUGGCUUAGCUUUGCCACGAGAAACCUCAAGCGUUGAAGCAGUGAUAAUAACAAAGUAGUCGCUUUCACCGAGUGUUGGUUGCCCUAUCUCUACCCACACGUCUCCCCCUAAGCCAAGAAUAGAACCAGGAUUCCUGAGCACCAGAAGUCAACUGCUGCCUACGAAAUGAUGGUGUAACCCGUGCCCAGCUUUGAAAAUCUGCAGCUGUCGGUGAGGAGACCUACCUGUGCCAGGCCAUGGCGUAACAUCCUUCCAGCACGAGGCAACUGAUACUCUGGGGUGGCAGUUGUUUUGUUUUAACCGAUCCCGUGACUUUAAGAAUGGCCCAGUCAAAAUCAGGGCAUUGGCAGCUUUGCCAACUCUUCCAAUUCGUUUUUGGGCUUGCCGAAAAGAAAACAUGGCUGGAAUCCAUGUUCUGGUCUGGUGCCGCUGCCAUUUAAGCCUAUAUUAAAACCGGUGCAUGAAUGUAACCUGACAAGCUCACCCGGCACUCGUGGGGGAAGAACCCCCAUGCCGCCGGGGUAAUAGACAAGCUUCGCCAGGGUGUGAGAGGAUCCAGGAAAAGCACCUGCUCCCACUUGUGCGACUGAGCCUAACUCAGGGGCCUGGCCCGCGGUUGUGACGAUCCCGGCUGGGUCUGAUGCGUGCCCUUUGGCUGCUGUGGUUUAUCAGGCUUACGACUCUGUGUUGAAGGAAGAGACUCAAAGUGUCUAGCGAGUGACUCAACUCAGAGGAGGGCUAGGAGCACGGAAAACGGGCAGGAGGAAAACUUUGCUGGGGGUGUGGGCUGGGCUCGCUGCUUUGACUGAUGUUUCUCCAGGGAUCCUAUGGGAGGUAGGCGGGGGCCUGAUUCUAACAGAGGUGGCCUCUGAUUUGCAAAUGAAGCAUGCAGGGCAUCUGCCCCAGGCGGAGGCAAUGGGGGCCAGGUUUGUACUGCGGCACGUGGCUUCAGUCUGGUUGAAAUUCAUUGCACCGGGCCGACAGCUGGGCGGUUGGGCUCUAUGCAGGUGACGCAGGGAGCUCUUCCUUCUCUGCUCCAAAGGUGCAUGCUACCCUCAGUCCCCAUGGGGCUGCAGACAGCUGCCUUGUAAGUGUCAGUCGCUGGGCCCCCAACAUGACAGAGGAAGGCUUCCAUUGGCUGACGGGAGCAGUCAGGAUCCGCAUUGGCCCUAAUGCCCCAUGGGCAAGGCUAUAUUUACGUAGAGCUUCCCCCACCCUGGAGCUCUGCAUGGGCAGGGUGUGGCUGUGGAUACCCCCAGGGGGCUUUGUCUCAGCGACUCCCUUGAGCUCCCAGAAGCUGUCUGGCCACAGCCGGGCGCCCCCCUUCUCCUUAGCAUGCAGCACGGGUCCCUUGGCAUGGUCCUGCUCCUUUGGUCCCUUGGGGCAGGUUGCUGCGCACACUGCAGGAUUUUCUACAGCUAGGCGAUGGGAUGCAGACGUUGCUGAGCAGCCCCAUGGAUCUGAGCAGCCAGGAAUCCGGGCAGGGGAGAACAACAGCCAGGGACUCAGCAGGGCUGGAAGGAAGAGGCAGUGCUGGGUGGGGAAGAGAAGAGCUGUGAUUUUGAUUUUGUUGUGGAAGGCUUGGAAGAUCUGGGCCCUGCUUGGUCUAAAUGGGCCCUGCCCAUCCUCCGGUGCAAAUGACCAGGCAGUGCUGGGUGAAUGAUGUCGGCCCACCUCUCUAAUGAUCCUCAGGGCGGCCGGGCAGAAAAUACCAACGGGCGUGACCAUGUGACUUCAGAAUCCUUGGACACUUCUGCUGCCUGCAAGGGCCAUGUCAGUCACACCAAACCUGGAUGUUCACUUCCUUGGUGGGCAAGGAUGGAAAGAGGAACCUACUGGAGAACCUAGAGCGAGGGCUGGGGGCACUUUCUCUGCAUGGUCUUAGCUCCAUGGUCCAAUGGCCGGCCAUGUCGUCUCUUGAGUUACGCUGGUGGAACACCGUGAAUUGUACUGGUGUAGCUGAGAUCAGAUUCUGGCCCGAAGGGAGGAGACCUGCUGCUUUGCAUUUUCUAAGCAUCCUACAGCAAAGGACACUGGCUGGACCCCCAAGUCAAGGAGAAGAUGGGUGGAGCUUAGUGAUUAUGUGCUGCAUGCCAGACAUCAGACUAGCUCUCAGCCUGCAAGUGUCCUGUGGAUACUGCAUGGAACUGAGACCUGGGUUCUAAUUAUGUGUCUGCUACUGACUUGCUUGUGACCUGGGGCCAGUCACUUCCCCACUCUGAGCCUCAGUUUCCCCACCCUCGUGCAUUUAUCUUAUUACACUGUGUGCUUUUCAGGGUGUAUGCCCUGCGGCCUGAAACCCUAGCGUAUAGGGAGCUCGGUGU